UACGAAGGGGGGCUAGCGUUGCUCGGAAUUACUGGGCGUAAAGGGCGCGUAGGCGGACAGUUAAGUUGGGGGUGAAAGCCCGGGGGCUCAACCUCGGAAUUGCCUUCAAUACUGGCUGUCUUGAGUAUGAGAGAGGUGUGUGGAACUCCGAGUGUAGAGGUGAAAUUCGUAGAUAUUCGGAAGAACACCAGUGGCGAAGGCGACACACUGGCUCAUUACUGACGCUGAGGCGCGAAAGCGUGGGGAGCAAACAGG
rnacentral:rRNA from 1 species